UCCAAACUUUCCCUCAUCUUUCUGUCUUCUGAGCACUCCAAACUCUUCCAACCUCUGCCCAUUACCCAGUCCCAAAGCUGUUUCCCCAUCUUUGGUAUCUUUAUAACAAUGCCCCACCCCUCAGUACCAAUUUUCUGUUUUAGGCCACCCUUGCACUGCUGUAAAGAGAUACCUGAAGCUGGGUGAUUUAUAAAGAAAAAAGGUUUAGUUGGCUCAUAAUUCUGUAGGUUUUACAGGAAGCAUAAGUCCAGCAUCAGCUUCUGAGGAGGAAACUUACAAUCAUGGCAGAAGGUGAAGUGGAAGAAGGCGCUUCACAUGGCGAAAGCAGGAUCGAGCAAGAGAGAGCUAUUAUGUCAAAUUAUUGUGUCCCGCAGAGAUGACCAGACUUUAACUGUGACUGUUUUGAGACUUGUCUUCCAUAAUUGUUAUUUUACUUUAAUGUUUUUCACAGGCAGUGUUAUAAUCAGCUCUAGCACUCUGACAGAUGCUCUUGAAUGCAGGUUUCUGGUAACUUGGGAGAUUUUGACAUUAGAAUAGAGGGGAAAACUUUCAGCGUUCCCAUAGAGAGCUAAUGUGUUCAUGAAUAUUGAGCAGAACAUAAGUUAAUUACAUAGACUGAACUGAUGGAAGACUGAAAUAAUAUUUUUAAGACUUGUUUAAAACAUUGCUAAUUCGUUUGUUUUUCGGAGUCUGGAAAAUCUUUUUUCUUUCUGCAGUUUGGACUAGAUGAUCAAUUCUUUCCAGGCUACAGAUCCCCAAGCUAAUGUUUUCAAAUUUUUCUCCCAUUUUUAAAAUCUGGGCUCAAUGAAUUACUACUAUGUUAUUCCUUGUAACAUAGGCAAGAAAAACAUGUCAGACAGCUAACCACCUUCCUCCUCUGUAACUAAAGGUGCUUUGAGUCCAACAUCUGGAUAAAAUGUGCCCAACGUUAACCUUUGUUUUUCUUCUGUUUUCAUAGAAAUGGCUCUUACUGAAAAUCUGCCUUCAUCACAUACAGAGGCCUAGCCCAUCUGCAGUGCCACCUCCUGGAUGGGACACAGCUAAUUAAACCGAUCUAUUCUCAAGAACUAGACAGGGCUUAUGACCACUAUCAUGAGUAGUCAUAGCUCUUCCUGUAACUUGGCUAGAGUGCAGUGAUGCAAUCAUGGCCCACGGUAGCCUCAAUCUUCUGGAUUCAUGUGAUCCUCCCACUUCAGCCUCCUGAGUAGCUGAAACUACAGGUCUCCAAGAGAAGUUGAAUCAAGAUCUGGCAUUGAUCGUGAGAUCCUGGACAUAAUGUCAAUUCAAUCAUUGGACAAGUCUUUUGGGGUGUCUUGGGGAAGAGGAUGAGUAUAUUUUUCCCAGCAGCCAGGAAGGAAAUGAAUAUUUAUGAUCCAGUGUGCAGAUCAUGGUAGACUGGAUUCUUGUUUUCAAUUCUUCACUCUCUUCCUGUGUUUGGAUUUUGCAGCCACAUACUUUGUUAUAUGACUUUGCAGUAUCUCCUGUUAGAAUAGAUGGAGUCCAUUUCUCUCCUGGCAUUGGGUUUGGCUGUGUG